AACACAGGCUAGGCGAACGGAAAGGCCUUUUCGGAGGCACUCGAGGGGCGAACGGGUGAGAAACAUUUGGGUGAUCUGCCCUGCACUCUGGGAUAAGCCUGGGAAACUGGGGCCAAUACCGGAUAGGACUGCACUUUAGUGUGUGUGGUGGAAAGUUUUUUCGGUGUAGGAUGAGCCCGCCGCCUAUCAGCUUGUUGGUGGGGUAAUGGCCUACCAAGGCGGCGACGGGUAGCCGGACUGAGAGGUUGGUCGGCCACAUUGGGACUGAGAUACGGCCCACACUCCUACGGGAGGCAGCAGUGGGGAAUAUUGCACAACGGGCGCAAGCCUGAUGCAACGACGCCGCGUGGGGCGAGACAGCCUUCGAGUUGGAAACUCCCCUCGCCAAGGACGGAGCGAAUCGUGACGGGACCAGAAGAAGAAGCACCGGCUAAGCACGCGCCAGCAGCCACGGUAAUACGUAGGGUGCAAGCGCUGGCCUGGAAUUACUGGGCGUAAAGAGCUCGUAGGUGGUUUGUCACGUCGUCUGUGAAAUUCCACAGCUUAACUGUGGGCGUGCAGGCGAUACGGGCUGACUUGAGUACUGUAGGGGUAACUGGAAUUCCUGGUGUAGCGGUGAAAUGCGCAGAUAUCAGGAGGAACACCGAUGGCGAAGGCAGGUUACUGGGCAGUUACUGACGCUGAGGAGCGAAAGCAUGGGUAGCAAACAGGAUUAGAUACCCUGGUAGUCCAUGCCGUAAACGGUGGGCGCUAGGUGUAGGGGCCUUUUGGGGUUUCUGUGCCGUAGCUAACGCAUUAAGCGCCCCGCCUGGGGAGUACGGCCGCAAGGCUAAAGCUCAAAGGAAUUGACGGGGGCCCGCACAAGCGGCGGAGCAUGUGGAUUAAUUCGAUGCAACGCGAAGAACCUUACCUGGGCUUGACAUACACCGGAUCGCUGCAGAGAUGUAGUUUCCCUUGUGGCUGGUGUACAGGUGGUGCAUGGCUGUCGUCAGCUCGUGUCGUGAGAUGUUGGGUUAAGUCCCGCAACGAGCGCAACCCUUGUCUUAUGUUGCCAGCACGUUAUGGUGGGGACUCAUGAGAGACUGCCGGGGUUAACUCGGAGGAAGGUGGGGACGACGUCAAGUCAUCAUGCCCCUUAUGUCCAGGGCUUCACACAUGCUACAAUGGCCGGUACAAUGCGCAGCGAGCCUGUGAGGGUGAGCUAAUCGCUUAAAGCUGGUCUUAGUUCGGAUUGGGGUCUGCAACUCGACCCCAUGAAGUCGGAGUCGCUAGUAAUCGCAGAUCAGCAAUGCUGCGGUGAAUACGUUCCCGGGCCU
rnacentral:rRNA from 1 species